rnacentral:rRNA from 1 species
AUACGGAGGAUCCGAGCGUUAUCCGGAUUUAUUGGGUUUAAAGGGUGCGUAGGUGGUUUGAUAAGUCAGCGGUGAAAGCUCGGGGCUCAACCCCGGAACUGCCUUUGAUACUUCCGAGCUGGAAUACGGAUGCCGUGGGAGGAAUGAGUAGUGUAGCGGUGAAAUGCAUAGAUAUUACUCAGAACACCGAUUGCGAAGGCAUCUCACGAAUCCGUCAUUGACGCUGAGGCACGAAAGCGUGGGGAUCAAACAGGAUUAGAUACCCUGGUAGUCCACGCAGUAAACGAUGAUGACUAACCGUCGGCGAUACACAGUCGGUGGCCAAGCGAAAGCGAUAAGUCAUCCACCUGGGGAGUACGUUCGCAAGAAUGAAACUCAAAUGAAUCGGCGGGG